GCAUCAUGAUUUACAUUUGAGUGAGUGGCGAACUGGUGAGUAACACGUGGGAAACCUGCCCAGAAGCGGGGGAUAACACCUGGAAACAGAUGCUAAUACCGCAUAACAACUUGGACCGCAUGGUCCGAGCUUGAAAGAUGGCUUCGGCUAUCACUUUUGGAUGGUCCCGCGGCGUAUUAGCUAGAUGGUGGGGUAACGGCUCACCAUGGCAAUGAUACGUAGCCGACCUGAGAGGGUAAUCGGCCACAUUGGGACUGAGACACGGCCCAAACUCCUACGGGAGGCAGCAGUAGGGAAUCUUCCACAAUGGACGAAAGUCUGAUGGAGCAACGCCGCGUGAGUGAAGAAGGGUUUCGGCUCGUAAAACUCUGUUGUUAAAGAAGAACAUAUCUGAGAGUAACUGUUCAGGUAUUGACGGUAUUUAACCAGAAAGCCACGGCUAACUACGUGCCAGCAGCCGCGGUAAUACGUAGGUGGCAAGCGUUGUCCGGAUUUAUUGGGCGUAAAGCGAGCGCAGGCGGUUUUUUAAGUCUGAUGUGAAAGCCUUCGGCUCAACCGAAGAAGUGCAUCGGAAACUGGGAAACUUGAGUGCAGAAGAGGACAGUGGAACUCCAUGUGUAGCGGUGAAAUGCGUAGAUAUAUGGAAGAACACCAGUGGCGAAUGCGGCUGUCUGGUCUGUAACUGACGCUG
rnacentral:rRNA from 1 species